rnacentral:rRNA from 1 species
UACGUAGGGAGCAAGCGUUGUCCGGAAUCAUUGGGCGUAAAGCGCGCGUAGGUGGCUUCGUAAGUCCGUUGUGAAAGUCAAAGGCUCAACCUUUGAAAGCCGAUGGAUACUGCGGAGCUAGAGUACGGAAGAGGCGAGUGGAAUUCCUGGUGUAGCGGUGGAAUGCGCAGAUAUCAGGAGGAACACCAAUAGCGAAGGCAGCUCGCUGGGACGUUACUGACAUUGAGGCGCGAAAGCGUGGGGAGCGAACAGG